AGUCGAGCGAGAAAGUAUUCUUCGGGGUGCGAGUACAGCGGCGAACGGGUGAGUAACACGUAAGCAAUCUGCCCCUAAAUCUGGGAUAAGGGUGCGAACGCGGGGCUAAUACCGGAUGUGGUCACGACAUCGCAUAGUGUUGUGAUUAAAGAUGGCUUCGGCUAUCGUUUAGGGAUGAGCUUGCGGCCCAUUAGCUUGUUGGUGAGGUAACGGCUCACCAAGGCGACGAUAGGUAGCCGACCUGAGAGGGUGAUCGGCCACAUUGGGACUGAGAUACGGCCCAGAGUCCUACGGGAGGCAGCAGUAGGGAAUUUUGCGCAAUGGACGAAAGUCUGACGCAGCGACGCCGCGUGAGGGAUGACGGCCUUCGGGUUGUAAACCUCUGUUGAGUGGGACGAAAACUCGCAGGGUUAAUACCCCUGGGACCUGACGGUACCACUCGAGGAAGCUCCGGCUAACUACGUGCCAGCAGCCGCGGUAAUACGUAGGGAGCAAGCGUUGUUCGGAAUCACUGGGCGUAAAGGGAGUGUAGGCGGGAAAGUAAGUUAGGAGUGAAAUACACAGGCUUAACCUGUAGGCCGCUCUUAAUAGUGGUUAACUUGAGUAUGGGAGAGG
rnacentral:rRNA from 1 species